GCUGGGUGCAGUGGUGCACACCUGUAAUCCCAGUGACUAGAGAGGAGGCUGAGGCAGGAGGAUUGCAAGUUCAAAGCCAGCCUCAGCAACUUAGUGAGACCCCGUCUCAA
rnacentral:sRNA from 1 species